rnacentral:rRNA from 1 species
UACGGGGGGGGCAAGCGUUGUUCGGAAUUACUGGGCGUAAAGGGCUCGUAGGUGGCCAACUAAGUCGGACGUGAAAUCCCUCAGCUUAACUGGGGAACUGCGUCCGAUACUGGAUGGCUUGAGUUUGGGAGAGGGAUGCGGAAUUCCAGGUGUAGCGGUGAAAUGCGCAGAUAUCAGGAGGAACACCGGUGGCGAAGGCGGGACUCUGGGCCGAUACUGACGCUGAGGAGCGAAAGCGUGGGGAGCGAACAGG